AGUGGAUGGGGAGCAACCUAGUUGUGCGUGUGUAAAGGUAGUGCCAAGAAAAGCGGUGAUCAUGAUGAAAAUCAAUUCCCGGUACCCGAAACCGACACAGGUGGGCAAGUAGAGAAUACUAAGGGGCGCGAGGUAACUCUCUCCAAGGAACUCGGCAAAAUGACCCCGUAACUUAGGGAGAAGGGGUGCCUCCGAGAGGUGGUCGCAGUGAAGAGGCCCAGGCGACUGUUUAGCAAAAACAUAGGUCUCUGCAAACUCGAAAGAGGAGGUAUAGGGGCUGACGCCUGCCCAGUGCCGGAAGGUUAAAGAAGUUGGUCAGUCUUAGGAUGAAGCUAGCGACUGAAGCCCCGGUGAACGGCGGCCGUAACUAUAACGGUCCUAAGGUAGCGAAAUUCCUUGUCGGGUAAGUUCCGACCCGCACGAAAGGCGUAACGAUCUGGGCGCUGUCUCGGAGAGAGGCUCGGCGAAAUAGGUUUGUCUGUGAAGAUACGGACUACCUGCAUUUGGACAGAAAGACCCUAUGAAGCUUUACUAUAGCUUGGAAUUGUGUUCGGGCUUCCUGUGCGCAGGAUAGGUGGGAGGCGAAGAAGGUAUUCUUGUGGGGAUACUGGAGCCAACGGUGAGAUACCACUCUCAGGAGGCUAGAAUUCUAACUUAAUUAAGGACAGUUUCAGGUGGGUAGUUUGACUGGGGCGGUCGCCUCCAAAAAGGUAACGGAGGCGUACAAAGGUUCCCUCAGACUGGUUGGAAAUCAGUCGCAGAGUGCAAAGGCAGAAGGGAGCUUGACUGCGAGAAGUACAGUUCGAGCAGGGUGGAAACACGGUCUUAGUGAUCCGACGGUGCUGUGUGGAAGGGCCGUCGCUCAACGGAUAAAAGUUACUCUAGGAUAACAGGCUGAUCUCCCCCAAGAGUUCACAUCGACGGGGAGGUUUGGCACCUCGAUGUCGGCUCAUCGCAACCUGGGGCGGAAGUACGUCCCAAGGGUUGGGCUGUUCGCCCAUUAAAGCGGUACGUGAGCUGGGUUCAGAACGUCGUGAUACAGUUCGGUCCAUAUCCGAUGUAGGCGUGAGAAUAUUGAGAGGAGCCUUCCUUAGUACGAGAGGACCGGGAAGGACGCACCGCUGGUGUACCUGUUAUGAUGCCAAUUGUAAACGCAGGGUAGCCAAGUGCGGAGAGGAUAACCGCUGAAAGCAUCUAAGUGGGAAGCCCACCUCAAGAUGAGUAUUCUGGUGUAAGGUCACGGGAAGACGACCCGUAAAUAGGCACGAGGUGGAAGUGCAGAGAUGUAUGAAGCCGAAGUGUACUAAUAGACCGUCGGCUUGAC
rnacentral:rRNA from 1 species